CCUACGGGUGGCAGCAGUCGAGAAUCAUUCACAAUGGGGGAAACCCUGAUGGUGCGACGCCGCGUGGGGGAAUGAAGGUCUUCGGAUUGUAAACCCCUGUCAUGUGGGAGCAAAUUAAAAAGAUAGUACCACAAGAGGAAGCGACGGCUAACUUUGUGCCAGCAGCCGCGGUAAUACAGAGGUCUCAAGCGUUAUUCGGAAUUACUGGAGGUAAAGCGAGCGUAGGCUGUUUCGUAAGUCGUGAGUGAAAGGCGCGGGCCCAACCCGCGGACGGCACAUGAUACUGCGAGACUAGAGUAAAGGAGGGGGAACCGGAAUUCUCGGUGUAGCAGUGAAAUGCGUAGAUAUCGAGAGGAACACUCGUGGCGAAGGCGGGUUCCUGGACAUUAACUGACGCUGAGGCACGAAGGCCAGGGGAGCGAAAGGGAUUAGAUACCCUUGUAGUC
rnacentral:rRNA from 1 species